GAUGACCGCUAGCUACAGGCUUAACACCUGCAAGUCGAGGGACCGGCGCACGGGUGAGUAACACGUCUCCAACCUGCCCUUUAAUCGGGGAUAGCCUUUCGCAAGCAAGCUUAAUACCCGAUAUAAAGGAUGGGCAUGCGUACCAUUAGGUUGUUGGUGAGGUAACGGCUCACCAAGCCUUCGCUGGAUAGGGGUUCUGAGAGGAAGGUCCCCCACAUUGGAACUGGUACACGGUCCAAACUCAGACGGGAGGCAGCAGGGAGGAAUAGUGGUCAAGGGGCGCUAGCCUGAACCAGACAAGUAGCGUGAAGGAUGAAGGCUUAUGGGUCGUAAACUUCUUUUAUAUAAGAAUAUGUAUUAGAUGAAUAAGGAGCGGCUAACUCCGUGCCAGCAGCCGCGGUAAUUC
rnacentral:rRNA from 1 species